rnacentral:lncRNA from 1 species
UUCAAACUUUACAUGCUGAUAUAGACACCGUACUUAGUGGUCUGUGCGUAAAUUUUAUUUCAUAAAAGAUGAAAGUUACAUGCUCACCGGUUUAUUCGGUCUUUGACUUCCGGUUUGAUUUGACGUUUUGGGAAAGAAAGAAAGAGUUGAUGAUUUAUGUGUGAUAUAGUGGAUUCGUCUGGCUGUCAGCGAUAUUUGAUAAGCGUAGCUUUUGCAGAGAAACUGCUUUACAUAUCGUCAUUGGAUAUUGUGUUUUUAUCUCAUUUUGAUGCAAGUGAAGAACUCUCAUAUGCAUUCAUACUGUUGUGGAUUCACUAACGUAUAAGAAAAUGUUGGAAAUGUUGUUCUGAACAGUUAUGAAGGCUGUAUAGUAGCAUGUGAAUAUUAUAUGAGCUGUGACAAGACCUGAAAGAUUUUGAAUUAUUAAGAUACAGUACACUGGAUGUGGUGUUUAUGACCUUUCAAUCGAUAAUAUGUGAGGACAAAAGAAAUGGCACACUUAAGUUUAUUUAACUGUCUUUGGUGUCUUCUCAAGAUUAUGGUAAUAACAGAUGCAAAUGGGUAGUCACAUAUUGUUACAGUUGUUAAGACAGAAACUUUUAGUCUCAAAUCACAGCUCUGAGCAUUGUCCAGGUAUAAGAAUAUACCCAAGAGAUGGAAUAUAUUAAAUAUUUAUUGGAAUCUGAGUGUGGUAUGAAGUGUGAUAUUUUGACUUGAAACAUAACUCCAUGUGAUACUUUAUUUAUCUCAUGACUUUGUAACUGACUGAAAAUGUUAAUGUAAUUUGUAUAACUAAGAGUGAUUGUGUAGCAGUUUUUGGUUACAAGUAAAAACAUGACUUGUGUAUUAUUUUAAUUUUCUUCUAGUGAAUUUAUGCACUAAUAAAAACUUAAAUAUAUAUUAGAUAUUUUUCAUGAUUUUUAAAUAAAAAAAAUAGAAAUCUGCAGUGUAUUUUCAGUAGAUCGUUGGUGUAGGCUAAGAUGAAUAUUUAGGUUUAUUUCUUAUUGCAAGAUAUAAGACUAACACUUUUUGAGUUUUGUUUAGGAGUUCAUCAUCAUUUGUUAAGGAAGUUGUGCGAGAACCAUAACUUUAUUUGCAUCAAGAAUUAUGGUAUUUCUACACAUAAAAAGUCUCCCUGGUUAUUUUUUCCCAAUUUUUGGAAUACUGUUUGAGCUAUAGCUUUGAAACAUUGUACACUUGUUUAUUACUGUUAUUAGAUAAUUGAGUACACAGAAUCAUUACUCGACAUGUAAUAUUUUGAGAAAUUAUGAACCACUUCAACAAAGAGAUUAGGACUUUCUUGUUAAGCGUCCAUUUUCUAUGAAACUAAAAUGCACAAACUGUAAAAUGUACAGCCUUAAAACUUUGAACACUUAUUUUUGUAGUUGGAUAGUUUAACUCUUAUAUUUUUUGGUACUAUUACAGGUAUAGUUUUAUAUUUAUACAUUUCUUAUCAACAGUAGGUCAGUUAGAAGGCAAAAGAAACAUAAUUCUUUUCUUGCAUGUAACCUAAUGUCUAGCAUUAGCACCCUAAGUCAGUGCUCUGUUAAUUUUUCUUUGAGAGCAUAAUAAUAUCAGAGUAGUUGUAUGUGCCAAAGGUAGUUUUAGUAACACAUUAUUUUACAUGAAAUGAAUGACUGUUGCUUAUAUAUUUUUAAAACUUUUAAUGAAGAAGGUACAUGAUAUUUAGUUCUGAAAGUGUUAAUAAUGAAAUUAUUGCAUUUACUGAUUUUGUAUAAUUCUGGUAUUCUUUCUUUUACAAAUACUAUAAAAAAUAUUCAUUAUCAUGUAACUUAAAUAAUUGAUAGACUUUUUAGCAUCCAAUUUAUUUACUGAGUUUUAUAUUUAUAAAACUGGGGUCUCUUUGGCUGAAUGGUUAAAGUGUCAGAUUUCUUAGCACUUGCCUAUCAACAAUGUAGGUUUGAUCCUCAUUCAGGUAAUUGAUUUCUUAAAGUGAAUAAGACAUCCAACUAGCUUACAGAAGAUCACUGGUUCUACCCAGUUGUCUGCCAGUGAUCAUCACUGUGAUGAUCUGAGAUAUUCCUCUACCAUCAAUUCUGGAAAUUCAGCAUAUGACCUUGAGUCUGCACGACAUUAACAUCACCUCUCCUCAAGAUACAUUUGUAUCAGAAUUGUUUUCUCAGUUAUUUACUACAAACACAAUUAAUAGCAUUUGAAUUACAUGUAUACUGAAAAAAAAAUGCUAAAGGGAAGUAAUAAAAAUUGUAAUUGAUGCAUAAAGGGAAGUAAUAAAAAAUUGUAAAUGAUGCAUAAAGGGAAGUAAUAAAAAUUUUAAAUGUUGUUAUGUGCCUUUAAUAUAUUGAUUUUAUAAUAGAUGAAGAUUUAUUUUUAUAUAUAAGGACUUGAAAAAUUGCAUGUUAUUUAAGAUAUUUUGUGAAAAUAAAUUGUGCCAAACUAUAUGUUUUGCUUUUAUAAACGUGUCACUUGUCAAUGAAACAGGUUGACAUUUUCUUUAAAACUGACUAUAGGGAAAUGAUGAGGUCAGCUGGGGUCAGCCAUGUACUAGUUUUGUCCCUUUGAAUUGUCUGCUAAAGUGUGAAACAGAGUAGAUGUUCUUUCACAUCACAGAAUAUUCUAACACAUGAAAAAAUGUGAUUAAUAUAUUUUAAAAAUUUGCAGACAAAACGUGUGUUUGUUUAUAUUUUUUGAUAAUUGAUGGACUUAUAGAGUUAUUUC